AUCGCUUCUCAGACUUUGGGCUAAGAUCAAGUAUAGUAUCCUUCUAAUCAAUUUAAUAUCUACUGCAUACUGUAUCUGAGGAAGAUAUAUUAAAUGGAUUUUUGUAAGUAGGAGUUGGAAUAGGAGCUUGCUCUGUCCACUCCACACAUCGAGCUGGUAUUGCAGUACCUCCAGCAAUGGUCCACCCCCU
ensembl:snRNA LOC120101398 U2 spliceosomal RNA